GACGAACGCUGGCGGCGUGCCUAACACAUGCAAGUCAACUUGACUGAAGGAGCAAUCUGACAGUAGAGUGGCGCAAGGGUGCGUAACGCGUAAGUAACUUGCCCAAGGUAAGGAAUAACGUCGAGAAAUCGGCGCUAAUACCUCAUAAUGCAGCGGAUCCGCAUGGAUAUGUUGUUAAAGGUUACCGCCUUGGGAUAGGCUUGCGUCUGAUUAGCUAGUUGGUGUGGUAAACGGCACACCAAGGCUACGAUCAGUAACUGGUCUGAGAGGAUGAUCAGUCACACUGGAACUGAGACACGGUCCAGACUCCUACGGGAGGCAGCAGUGAGGAAUAUUGGGCAAUGCUCGAAAGAGUGACCCAGCAACGCCGCGUGGAGGAUGAAGGUAUUCUAUAUCGUAAACUCCUGUGAGAGCAGACGAAAGACAGAUUAUUAAUCUGGAUGACUGUAUGCUCAGAGGAAGCCCGGCUAACUACG
rnacentral:rRNA from 1 species